GGAAUAUUGGGCAAUGGAGGAAACUCUGACCCAGCGACGCCGCGUGCGGGAUGAAGGCCUUCGGGUUGUAAACCGCUUUCAGUAGGGAAGAAGCGAAAGUGACGGUACCUACAAAAGAAGCACCGGCUAACUAUGUGCCAGCAGCCGCGGUAAUACAUAGGGUGCAAGCGUUGUCCGGAAUUAUUGGGCGUAAAGAGCUCGUAGGUCGUUUGUUACGUCGGAUGUGAAAACCUGAGGCUCAACCUCAGGCCUGCAUUCGAUACGGGCAAACUAGAGUUUGGUAGGGGAGACUGGAAUUCCUGGUGUAGCGGUGGAAUGCGCAGAUAUCAGGAGGAACACCAAUGGCGAAGGCAGGUCUCUGGGCCAAUACUGACACUGAGGAGCGAAAGUCUGGGGAGCGAACAGGAUUAGAUACCCUGGUAGUCCAGACCGUAAACGGUGGGCACUAGUUGUGGGGACCUUCCACGGUUUCUGCGACGCAGCUAACGCAUUAAGUGCCCCGCCUGGGGAGUACGAUCGCAAGAUUAAAACUCAAAGGAAUUGACGG
rnacentral:rRNA from 1 species